AGAAAUGACUGCUAAUACCCAAUGUGCCGCAAGGUGAAAGUUUUUCGCCUGGAGAGGAGCUCGCGUCCGAUUAGCUAGUUGGGGUGGUAAAAGCGCACCAAGGCAACGAUCGGUAGCUGGUCUGAGAGGAUGAGCAGCCACACUGGGACUGAGACACGGCCCAGACUCCUACGGGAGGCAGCAGUGGGGAAUUUUCCGCAAUGGGCGCAAGCCUGACGGAGCAAUACCGCGUGAGGGAGGAAGGCUUUUGGGUUGUAAACCUCUUUUCUCAAGGAAGAAGCUCUGACGGUACUUGAGGAAUUAGCAUCGGCUAACUCCGUGCCAGCAGCCGCGGUAAUACGGAGGAUGCAAGCGUUAUCCGGAAUUAUUGGGCGUAAAGCGUCCGCAGGUGGUACAUCAAGUCUGCUGUCAAAGACUAGGGCUUAACCCUGGAGCGGCAGUGGAAACUGAUGAACUAGAGUACGGUAGGGGUAGAGGGAAUUCCCAGUGUAGCGGUGAAAUGCGUAGAGAUUGGGAAGAACACCAGUGGCGAAGGCGCUCUACUGGGCCUGUACUGACACUCAGGGACGAAAGCUAGGGGAGCGAAAGGGAUUAGAUACCC
rnacentral:rRNA from 1 species